rnacentral:rRNA from 1 species
UACGGAGGGGCUAGCGUUGUUCGGAAUUACUGGGCGUAAAGGGCGCGUAGGCGGUUUACCAAGUCAGGACGUGAAAGGCCUGGCUCAACCCGGGAACUGCGCUUGAUACUGGUGGACUUGAGUCCGGGGAGAGGAUGGCGGAAAUUCCCAGCGUAGAGGUGAAAUUCGUAGAUAUUGGGGAAGAACACCGGUGGCGAAGGCGGCCAUCUGGACCGGAACUGACGCUGAGGCGCGAAAGCGUGGGAGCAAACAGG